rnacentral:rRNA from 1 species
AGAGAACGCUGGCGGCAGGCCUAAUACAUGCAAGUCGAACGGCUCUUCGGAGCAGUGGCGGACGGGUGAGUAACGCGUGGGAAUGUGCCCUUAGGUACGGAACAACACAGGGAAACUUGUGCUAAUACCGUAUGUGCCCUUCGGGGGAAAGAUUUAUCGCCUUUGGAACAGCCCGCGUUGGAUUAGGUAGUUGGUGAGGUAAAGGCUCACCAAGCCGACGAUCCAUAGCUGGUCUGAGAGGAUGACCAGCCACACUGGGACUGAGACACGGCCCAGACGCCUACGGGAGGCAGCAGUAGGGAAUCUUGCGCAAUGGGCGAAAGCCUGACGCAGCCAUGCCGCGUGUAUGAUGAAGGUCUUAGGAUUGUAAAAUACUUUCACCGGGGAGGAUAAUGACGGUACCCGGAGAAGAAGCCCCGGCUAACUUCGUGCCAGCCGCCGCAGUAACAC